GGAUCGGCCAAAGGGAGGGAGUUCGCUGUGGUGACAUUGCUGCAACUCUGUGACGAUAGAGUAUGUGGGAGGAGUAAUGCUGAGCACCGGGCUCUUCUUGUCAGAGAAGGUGCCAUUCCUCCUCUCGUUGCUCUUUCGCAGUCUUCGUCUGUAAGAACCAAGCAGAAGGUAUGAUUGUUUUACAAACUCUAAUCAUGACUACGGAAUGAACCUUUUACACUAACCAAUCAAUCUGUCUUGUUACAGGCGGGGAUACUGCUGGCUUUCCUGCGUGAGCUACGGCAAGACGGCAGUUCCUCAGCAUGAAUCCAUCGCAUCUGUCAGUCAUGUACAUCAUGCUGUGUGUUAAUAUAAUUCCAUCG
rnacentral:lncRNA from 1 species